CAGCACCUCAAGUGGUCAGGAUGAUUAUUGGGCCUAAAGCAUCCGUAGCCUGCUUUGUCAGUUUUCGGUUAAAUCCAUACGCUCAACGUAUGGGCUGCCGGGAAUACUGCAAAGCUAGGGAGUGGGAGAGGUAGACGGUACUCGGUAGGAAGGGGUAAAAUCCUUUGAUCUAUUGAUGACCACCUGUGGCGAAGGCGGUCUACCAGAACACGUCCGACGGUGAGGGAUGAAAGCUGGGGGAGCAAACCGGAUUAGAUACCCGAGUAGUCC
rnacentral:rRNA from 1 species